AACGAACGCUGGCGGCAUGCCUAACACAUGCAAGUCGAACGAGACCUUCGGGUCUAGUGGCGCACGGGUGCGUAACGCGUGGGAACCUGCCCUUAGGUUCGGAAUAACUCCCCGAAAGGGGUGCUAAUACCGGAUAAUGUCUUCGGACCAAAGAUUUAUCGCCGUUGGAUGGGCCCGCGUUGGAUUAGCUAGUUGGUAGGGUAAAAGCCUACCAAGGCGACGAUCCAUAGCUGGUCUGAGAGGAUGAUCAGCCACACUGGGACUGAGACACGGCCCAGACUCCUACGGGAAGCAGCAGUGGGGAAUAUUGGACAAUGGGCGAAAGCCUGAUCCAGCAAUGCCGCGUGAGUGAUGAAGGCCUUAGGGUUGUAAAGCUCUUUUACCCGGGAUGAUAAUGACAGUACCGGGAGAAUAAGCGCCGGCUAACUCCGUG
rnacentral:rRNA from 1 species